UGGUUCCUGCAAUGCCAAGAUUCAGAAACUUCUUCUGAGAUGGACAAGUGGGCGAUGACUCUCCAUCAGUUUGGUUCUCUUCUUGCACGCUUCUGUUUGCAGUCAUAUGCGUAGAUAUCUUCAGCGCAUGCAGGUGUUUCACAAUGAUUGAUUGAAUAAUAGGUGUUUGAUCGAACAUCUUUGUUUAGGAAUUGUAUUGGCGAUGGGAUUGAUAUCGAUGCAUGAAGUGUUGAUGUAUAGAUCAGGCAAGACUGCAGCAGGUACUGAUUUGCAUUUGUAUUAUGGCCUUGCCAUGUCGGGUGCGCUUGCUUGGCAGGUCAUACAUAAUAAAAACAAUGGUUUUUGGUUGAUGGAGGGAGAUGGUACGGGGUUUGCCUGACUCUCCCUCCAUGUGGGUGUGUGGUUCUUUCCCCUU